rnacentral:rRNA from 1 species
AGUGAACGCUGGCGGUAGGCCUAACACAUGCAAGUCGAACGGCAGCACAGUAAGAGCUUGCUCUUACGGGUGGCGAGUGGCGGACGGGUGAGGAAUACAUCGGAAUCUACUUUUUCGUGGGGGAUAACGUAGGGAAACUUACGCUAAUACCGCAUACGACCUACGGGUGAAAGCAGGGGAUCUUCGGACCUUGCGCGAUUGAAUGAGCCGAUGUCGGAUUAGCUAGUUGGCGGGGUAAAGGCCCACCAAGGCGACGAUCCGUAGCUGGUCUGAGAGGAUGAUCAGCCACACUGGAACUGAGACGCGGUCCAGACUCCUACGGGAGUCAGCAGUGUGGAAUAUUGGACAAUGGGCGCAAGCCUGAUCCAGCCAUACCGCGUGGGUGAAGAAGGCCUUCGGGUUGUAAAGCCCUUUUGUUGGGAAAGAAAAGCAGCAGGUUAAUACCCCGCUGUUCUGACGGUACCCAAAGAAUAAGCACCGGCUAACUUCGUG